rnacentral:misc_RNA from 1 species
AAGUCGUAACAAGGUCUCCGUUGGUGAACCAGCGGAGGGAUCAUUACUGAGUAUCUUACUCUCUACCCUUUGUGAACUAUUAUACCUGUUGCUUCGGCGGCGUCCCCCCGGGGGCGCCCGCCGGAGACCACAAACUCUUGUUUUUUCCCGCACACGCGGCAGUAGAUUCUCUGAGUGGCAAACGCAAAAUAAAUCAAAACUUUCAACAACGGAUCUCUUGGCUCUG